AUAUAAAUAAGUUAAGAAAACUAUUAGGCUCAUAACCUAAAAUUAGAAUAAUCUCUUUUAUAUA
rnacentral:tRNA from 1 species